GGUAUCUUUUUAAUUUCCUAAAAAAGGUUUAUUUAUUCAUUUAUAUUUGGUUUAUUGUGAAAAUAUUUUAUUAUUUCCUAUUGCCCCAAUAAAACAACUGCUUAGGUUGUAAAGAUCUAUAGGGUCUUAUCGUCUGAAAAAAUUAUUAACGCAUUUUUACGCUAAAUUAAAAUUAAAGAAAUUUUUAUAAUACAGUCUACCCCCCAUUCAAUCAUUCAUGCAAGCCUUCAAUUAAAAGACUAUUGAUUAUGCUACCUUUGCACGGUCAAUUUACCGCGGCCCUUAAAAAUUCAGGGGGCAGAUUAUAUCUUUAAUACAAUUCUAAAGAAA
rnacentral:rRNA from 1 species